ACCAAAAAAAAUACUCCGCUAAUCCAUAAGGAGUUAAAAUAUGUACAUUAGUUGAUCAAAUAAAUCGACCACCUUACUUGAAUUACCAUCAAUAGAGUUUUCAAGAACUUCAAUUAUCAGGGGGUUAAAUUGGAUAAGAACUACUUCAUUAUAGUCUGCUAUAUUGAAAGAUAUAGUCUACUCUGAAUCUUAUAACCACAAAAGCUGCUAGUGGCAUAUGGAGCCUAUCCGAUAUCAAAGAAUAGAUAUGAUUUAUCGGAGAAGACAAAUCUCUAGUAAAUUAUUCAACAUUUACAAUUGUCUUUCAGAUCCUAUCUUCAUCAAGGAUAUCGACUAACGCUGAAAGAAUAGUACUUGUUUGCAAGAAAUACUCUGCAAUUUGUAGAAAGCAAAAAACAUGAUUAAAGGACAAAUACUGUAAGACUACAUUUGCAAUCCAGUCUAGAAUAUAAGAUUUACAUCACCCUCGUCUAUUUGGAAUACUAAAAACAUGAAGCAAGUGAAUUGCUUUAAUAGAAGUCAGCACUUACUGCUGCAACUGCAAUAUCAUAAAUCAGGAAUGUAUAGCUACAGCCUGCAUGAUCAAAUUCAUAUCUUAAUAAGCAAUUCCUUUUACAGGAGAAAAAGGAAAAUCAAAAGAAAAAAAUAAACAUAAACUUUUAGCUGGAAGUUAUAUUUUUAAAUCCUAUUGAUGGAAUAGUAUAUUUCAACUAUCAUUCACUAUCAAUUAUUUAUUACUUCUGUUAGAAUAAUGAUAAAUUAAGAGGCAUAAAAUAAUUGAAGAUUUUAAGUCAAACAACUCCUAUAAGUAUUUAAUGUUUAAAGAAUAAUGAUAUUUCCAUGUAGCUUCAAAACUUUGAACUUCGAACCUUUCUUACGGCUAGGCGUUUUUUAAUAGUAGCAGUGCAAUCUUAAUUUCUAUAUAGCAGUACAAUCUUAAUCCAUGUACAGGUUCCAUUUCUAUUAUCAGUCCUUAAUUUGCAAGAUGAAAAACUAAGCUAAGCAAAGCCAUUAUAAAAAAGGAGUUAAAACAACAAUUUUGCUUCAAAAAAUUAGUUAGGAGAAAUAUGUCUAAUGACUGCUAUGAUAUUUUUGAAUUGCUUCUACAGAUCAAAAAUUAAAAAAAAGGGCAACCCUCUUUUGUACUAUUUUACUUAGUAAUAGUAAUGAUGCAAGUCAAAACAAAAAAGAGAUUCCAAAAAAUACCUAAAAGUAACACAAUUUUAAAAUAAAAUAAUAUUUUUAGUACCUAUACAAUCAAGGAUUGGACUAUGCAUAAGUAUUUUUGAAGUAGCUACAAUAAAAUGCCAUGCUGGCUUGUAGUAAAGUGACUCUGCAAACCAAAAUAUUCUUAUAUAUGUUUCUAAGAAGAUAAGAGAAGGAGAAAGAACGAUGCAACUUUGCCUUAAAAAAGUUAGGAGAAUUAUGUCUAAUGGCUACUAUAUAUAAACAUUUUUGUACAGCUUCUGCAGAUCACAAGAAAAAAGAAAGAAAAUGUAUUGUUUAACACAUCUGUAGAAAAUAAUGACAGGUUUCUCAAUUAAGCAUAAUGAUAAUAAGUUUUCUAUCAGACAAAUAUCUAAAACAAUCUAAAAAUAUCAAUGCACCAAAGUUAAGCAACAUUCAACAGAUUACUUCAUAAAUAAAAAAGGACCUGGGGAAUAGUCAUAGUUUUUAUUGAUAAAUAUGCUAACGAACCGAGCCCAAAAAGGAAUGAAUAUAAAUGCAAAAGAGCAUAGACUGGAACAAUGAGCAGUGUUCUAGACAUAUGACUCAUAACAAAAAAAAACAGAUAUAGAUUUGAAACUUUACGUUGGAGAAGCAGUCACACAUCGAAGAGUGCAUACAUAUCCAUGAAUAUUUCGUCACUUCUUUUCUUAAUGCGAUUCAUACAUAUCUCCAUGAAAUUUUGGAACUAAGUGAACAUUCUAACAUCAGCAUUCCUAGGGAAAUAUUCCCCCU
rnacentral:lncRNA from 1 species